rnacentral:lncRNA from 1 species
UCUCAAAAGGGUUUACAACAGAUAUAACACCCACCACAAAGAUUAACACAACUUCUGCCAACAAAACCACAUGAGCAAAAAAUCAACACAACAAUUACGAUAGAGACAAGUACCUAAAGAAGAGACAAAGGAACCCCCGCCAAGAGAUCUUGAAAGACACAACCUCUUAAACUCAUGAGAGGCUUGAGGAGCUUCGGUGGCAACAAAUCUUGUAGGUGUUGCCUCCUUGUUGAACUUUCCAUCAUCCCCAAAUCCCCAAUGAUGCUUAAAUCCUUUAACACGUUGCGAUGAGCUCAUGAGCAAGGUAAGAACUUCAAAGAAGCGAUAACCUAUCGUAGGACUUUUUGUUGACCGAAUCAGUAGGGGAAUCCCCUACAUGUUUUUUUUUCAAUUAAAUGAAAUAAUGUUAUGUACAAGGAGCAAAUACAAGGCAACUAGGCCCAAAGCAAAAACAAGAAAACAACUAAGUAAAACUAUCUCUCCAUAAACUGAUUAAGGUGCUUCUGCUUGCUUUGUUUUUGGCCAAGUUCAUCUUUGAAGUUUCUUUUCCAUAGUCCAAUGCUUUUCUGACCAUUAUCAAAGAUAACACUAUUUCGAGUAGUCCAAAUAAUCCAACACGUGUGAUGACUAUUUCUUUGAAGAUGACACUAUGAAAGGCUUCUCUGACCUCUCGUAGGACUUACGCCAGUAUAUUGUUGUCGUAGCAAGAGAAGACAUUGCCUCAAUUGGUGAAUCUUCGGUUAGCCAAGACUCUUCAACCUCAACUCCAAUCAUAAAACGGGUCGAGCUUCCUUCAGUGGUGGUGAGUAAAUGGGAUCUUCAUUGCCACAUGUGCAUAUCAGUCAACAUUCUCGUCAUGAGAUGCAUCUUCCACUAGAAUAGCUUCCUCAACGAAGGUGACAACUAGUGGAAAUUUUUGUUUGGGCAAUUGAACCAUGGGUGUCAUCUAAGUAGUGGAAAUUCCUAAGGGCAAGGGAAUCUCGCAAUCCUCCCUAAGGACAACUUGGAGCGACACUAGACCUAUGGAAGGCUCUUGAUACUCGUGAACUUUAGAGGACCCAAAUGGCACAUACUCCAACAUGUUGGAAAGCUCUUGGAUGUCUAUGUCAACGACGGUGAAGACAUCUUUAUAUCUCUACAACUAAAAAGACUCGCAAGUCAUCGUCAGCCGUGGCUAAUCGCCCCCCCUCGCCCAACCUCUCCCCCGUGAUUCCCAUCAUCCCAUGCCCCCUCAGUGAUUUUUUUCGCGCCGACAGGUGGGGCCCCGAUGCUGAGAUGCGCCCCUCACAGCCCACGCACACCGCCCCGCCUCUCUGUACCCUCUGGUACUCCCGGCCCGGGAGCGCCGCCGCUGCGACUCGCGACGGUCCCCUUCUGCUCCGAGAAGGAGAACUGGAGAAGGAUCGUAGCCCUAUAGGAGGACCGACCAAGUUGAAGGAGCUUCGAGAAGUCAAAGAAGCGCGCGCCCUCUCCCCACGGCUGUGACCUAGCGGUUAGGGUUCGAGCCCCUGAGCUGUGGGGGCAGCGCAAGGCGACAUUGGCCCUUGCGUGGUGCUGCUGCCAUAGAUCCGCCCCACCCGGCCCCCGGCGCCAAACCCGCCUCUUCAGAGCUCCGCCGCUGCCGAGUCGACGACAUUGUAGUUGCCAGGUAGCCGUCGUCUCAGACUCUCCAUCUGCUUCCUCCCUCACCGGCAAAUCCUACAGGCCCGUGGUGGAGUGCUCCGGCGACCUUUCGUAUUUGCACGUUGACCUUUCGUAUUUGCGAGUUCACGAAAUCACGUGAUGGAGUGCUGCGGCGGCUGUUCCAUCAUUCCCAGUUGCCGUAAUCCUGUGAACCACGUGAUCGACUAAUCGUAUCUAGACGCUAACGCAGCGAGCAGUGGUGCCGCAGUCCCUCCAUCCCUGACUUCCUGCGUAUUUCAGUUCAGUUCAUCAGUAUUCAAUGACAGUUGUAGGGCAUGGCAGCUUGCACCUGCAAUUGCAGCAGUACAGUUUCAGUGUUUGUUAGAUGACAACUUCAUAUUGCUUUUUGACCUCCUCGCAAAAAAAAGGAUUGCUUUUUGACCUUGCAAUCCGAUCCAUACAAGCUAAGGCAUCAAGCGAUUCAAGCAAAUAGUUGAUCCAUUAAUUUAAUUAUUUAAUUCAUCAAGCUACAUAGGGACAGAAGAACCUAGGCUACAAGUAAUUUGUUCUAAAUUUUAUGUUAUUCCAAAUUUAUUUGAGAUAACAAUAAUAGUUAUAUAGCAAGUACUAUAUAACUUCAAUUGUCAUAUUAAAACAUUAGAUCAUGUGGCCCUUAUUGUCUUGCUUGUCUAAGGGCUCUUAAAAUUAUUGAGACGGCCUUGCAUAGUCCUCUUUACUUGGUAGCUGAAAUCAUCCCUGGUUCUUGCUUCUUGACUUUCUUUAUGUCCAUGUCAAUUUAAUAUAUGGCCUGAAACUAAAUGUUUGUUGUUUUGGUCAAGUGAAUUUUUUGUACUGCGCUUUCCAUAUUUUAGCUUUUUUUGGUUACAUCAUACAUAUGAUGCUUUCAUGCAGAUGAUGACGUACUUUGCAAAGGAUCGGCUAUUACAUGCUUCUAUGCAGGCCAAGAUAAGUGUUGCAGUUAUAUAGACUGAUUGCCUUUAAACCUAUUUUAUGUGAUUGUUAAACCAUCAAAUGAUCUUUUGUGCAAUCCUGCUUCCUCGAUACUUAGUGUAGUUGGCUUUUGCUAAACCUAAAUUUGUUAUCUCAACCUAAAAGAAUAAUUUUAAAUUUGUCAUUGACAGGUGAUCGGACAAACUCUAACUGUUUUGAGAAACUUGGGUGUAAGAUUAGGGCAUUCUCUAUUGGCCAAUGUCCUGUAGUAUCCUGAUGUCAUUGUUCUGUUACCUAAAACUGCCAAUGUUAUGUUACCUAAAAACUUAACAGUAGAAGACAGUUGUGAUGUCUGACCUAUCAGUACCAUGUUUAUUUAAUAAACUUUUGCAGCCUUUAAAAUCUAAAACUACGAUGCACAAAUAUUUUGGGCUGUGUAUUUUUUAAACAACUGUGUUUUAAUGCAAGAUUUAGAGACAAUUUUUAUAGUUUGCCGACUUAAAUAACACUUUAGUAGUUCUUUCUCAUUUGUUACAAGGAUAAAACAUUUUAUCUCUUGUCUACUUAAUUUCUAUUUGUUCUCUCUUUUAGGUAACCUGAAUUUGGAUGAAGGACGUUGGGAAUGGAAGUUCUAUAUAGGUAGGAUCAGUGUAAGUUCUAUAUUAAUACUAGCUGAAGUUUCAAUCAAUGUUCCACAAUUUGUAGAGUACAAUCCAUAAGUCAGAAAAAGGAUGUCGCAGCACCUUUCCCAUAAUCCACGUUCUAAAUUUCUAGAGAACAAUCCAUAACUUCUUCUUCUUUAACACAAUCUAUCUGUUUUAGCAGCUUCUUGUAUUGUGUGCCUACAAGCUGUACAAACACAGACACUAUUAUGUAUAAAAUUCCAGUACAUAUUUUAUAUGCACAUUUUUGGCUUAGUUCCAGUGACCUAAUGGAAGCUAAUAGAUUCUUGUUAGUAUGGUAGGUUUGUAAGGAAUUUAUUUUCACUAUUUUAUUUUGAUUUGUGUCAUAAACUAUUUGACUAUGCAAUAGGUCUAACAAAAGAGAGCUAAAAUUGUUUUCUGUCCAAACUAUUUACUGCAAUUAGUGCAUUAUCAUUUAGUUCUGAAGGAGUAUGUCUGGUUUCAUGAUCAAAGGAUUGCACUGUCAUAAUCUAGGAUGCAACAUGGAAUGCUUUUAGGAAAUUUGAAACAUGGUGAGAACUUCAUAGUAGAUUACAACUCACGUUAUGUGUGAUUUACAUUCACAUAGUUUUAUUCUUCUUAUUUGUCAAUAUAGACCCUGCAAAAAACCUAUUAGUAGUUCCAAACUAGAGAGUUCAAAGGUCAAUAGAAAAAAUCUGCUUUGGGGAUCCCUACACUUGAGAAAAUGUCUAGACCAUUUAAUAAAAUGCGAACAGUUUUACAGCCCUCUGUUUUAGUAGCUUCUUGUAUUGUGUGCCUACAAGCUGUACAGACACAGACACUACUAUGUAUAAAAUUCCAGUACAUAUUUUAUAUGCCAUCUGGUUUUGUUUUUCUCGUAACAAGGCACAAUCAUAGACCUAUGAGUAAUCAUAUAUUUCAAGUCUAUAUGAUCUCUUGUAUUAGUGUAGUAGUUUGAUAAUUCACUAUCAUACUUUGACCUUGUUCUGUUCCUAUGUGUAUCCAUAGUCCAGUUGAUAGUUCAAGAUGAUAUUGUGAUCUCGAUUUUUUUACAUGUGUAUUCAUAAUCCAAGUCAACCAGCAUAUCUCCUGCUUGAGAUCACUAUAGAGUUUAGCUGGCAGAAAAAUACUUCUGAUGGUGGCAGCGUGAGGCAUCAGGAGGCCUGUCAUCAUUGUCAACUUGAAGCUGACGGUGAUCAUGACAAAUACAAGUGGUGGAGUACAUGGAAGAGAUGAUGUUGGCACUGCCGCGGAGUAGUUUUGUGCUAAUCAUGUAUCUUAUUGACAACACAAGCCUGGAGAUCAACCUUGCAAAAUAUGGUUUCUCUCCAUCCACUAACCAAUUCUUUGGUUUUUGUACAUCUUCUAAGCUGAAGCAUUGUCUUAUUUGAGGAUAAUUUAGAAUAAUGUCAUCAGUUUUCUUAUUUGAGGUUCACUCAAUUUUUUAUUCAAUUCGAUGCAUCUGAAUUACUAUAAUUGUGUUGGAGGAGCCAGAGGCAGAUGUAUCUGACCUGUUGAUGGACUAGGAUUAACUACGGUUCAGAUAAAUUAGCAGUUGUACUGCAGAUUUUUACUCUCACCUUAUUGCACAAAGCUUGGACUUGUCACGAAUAUCGCACUUGAAGUAUUAUUUAUUUUUUAAUUGUACAACACAUUCAAAAUAGACUUAUCAUGAUAUUAUUUUUCCGUUGCAACGCACGGGCACGAUCCUAGUGAUUCAUUAAGAAGGGGGGGGGGGGUUAUAAAAGAUACUACCAUUGAAAAUAAAAGAUCUUUAAAGAUACCAAAGAUAAUUUAGUAAAAACAACUACAAUGGAAAUAAGUCUUGACUUUUUCUAUAGUGAUGGAUCAAUUUAACACCUCUUUGUCAGUGGCUGUAUGCAAAGUUCCUCUAGCAAGUGUCCAUGAUCUUUUUCAUGAUUAGCACAAACAAGGGCUAGCUCAAACAAGGUUCUAUUGUUGGCAGGAGGUGCGUUCAUUUGCUAGACAUUAUGAAUUACAAGGAACGAUGUAGUUUUUGACAAAAACUAGUCCAUAACAUUUUUUAGUCUUGUUUAAGGGAACAUACUAAUUGCAACACUAGGUGCAAUUGCAACAAUGAGGACAACCAGAAACAUUUCUUCGAUGUUUGUCGAGCAAUGGAGGUGGUGGCAAGUCAUCAAUGCUCUUUGCUUCCUCGAAUGACCAAACAAAGCUACAUUUGAGUUUUGAGUGUGACUUUUUUUUGGUAGACUUUAUAAUAAGUGGGCUGAUCGAUGCUUUUCUUCCUUUUAUUAUUUCAUUAUAAAAAAAUCCCAUAAGUACUUGUCGCAAGUUAUUGGCUCUGUCCUUAGCCCUGACAGGCUACAAGUCUUUCCUCUUCUGAUGUCAGAUAGAAAAAAAGAGGAAAAACAAUGGGUGGAGACUAUCUCAACCAUGCACAGUGGGUUCAUGCCGCAUAUCCUUGUAAUCCAACAAGUUGUGAUUCUUCUUUCCAACUAAAUCUCCUUCACCAGUUGGAUGAUUAUGCAUGAACACAUGGCAUUUAUCCACAAUAGAUGUCCACGGGUACAUGGUGGGGUCUCCACCUAUUUUUUUUUCUAGAAAAAGGGUAAAGAGCGCUCUCGUGCAUGUUUGGCACACCAUAUCUUAUUCUUCUUCUUUUUUGAGCAAAGACACGCCAAUCUCCUGGAGGGAAGACCGGAAGAGACGAGCCACCGGCCUAUCUUAACGGGCUCGGCCGGCCACUCGUAUCGAACUGUGAGGUUUACGUCUAUUCUUUCUUUUUUUUUUUUUGAAACAUGGAAAGGCCUUCCAUUACUCAUAACUUGCUGCCAAAUCAUUGGCAACUAUAACUUGGAAUACUGUCUGAAACUGGAUCAGCACCCACACUCAAACUUGCCCCAAGAGCGGCAAGACUAUAGCUACCAAGUUACUCCCUCCAUCCCAAAUUGUAAGUCAUUCCAAGAAUCUUGGAGAGUCAAAACAUUUUCACGUUUGACUAAAAUUAUAGAGAGAAAUACUAAGAUUUGUCACGUAAAGUGAGUAUACUAUGAAAAUAUAAUUAAGGAAGAAUCUAAUUAUAUUUAGUUGGUAUCAUAAUAAUAAUUAUUUUAUCAUAUAAAUUUGGUCAAACUUAAAAAAGUUUGACUCUCCAAAAUUUUUGGAAUGAUUUACAAUUUGGGAUGGAGGGAGUACAUGAACGAGGGAUAUGAUUUACCAUAAGAGAGAUAAAAUUACAAGCCAACAAUUUUUUCAUCUCCCAUAUAAGACCACUUGCAGAGGAAAUAUCAUAGCCCGUAGACUUAACUGCCUGUGCCACCAUGGAGGCAUCCAUUUCCAAAACUAUUCUUUGUACUCCUAGUCCUAGGUCAGCCGCUCUUUGUAUUCCCUGCAAACAGGCUAUCUAUCCGUUCGUAUCUAUUAGUUUCAGUAUGUAAACCUCUCUCUUUUAACACAGCUGUCCUAAAGGUUUGUAGUUGGGCCGAAGAAUAAGCCCAAGCUCAUGAUUGGACUGAUCCCACAACAACAUCCUAUAGAACCCAACUCCCAAGGAGGCGCAAACUGUUUUUUCGAUCCAUAUACAUGCUGCUGCUGAGGCAUCGCAGUCACAUUUUUAUUUUUUAUUUUUAUUUUUUUGCUAAUAACAGGUUAUUUUAGCUUCUCUCAACAACUGAUUUUGCUCAUGCUCUUACACUGUCUUAUAGCUAUAUUUAAACUAUUUUAUUACUAUAUGUACAAUAAUUUUUCCAGUAUAAUUUAUUGGGCAAAAUGAAGUAAUUUGGGGAUAAUUGUAGAUCUCAAACAAAUAUAUGAAUUUUUUUUUAAAAAAAAAAUCCUAUGGAUUCUAGAUACCAGAGAAAUAUAUGUCAAACUGUUCACAAAUACUAAAUCCAUCCUAAAUAAUAAGACGAUUGACUUUUUUAAUACCAAGUUUGACCAUUCGUCUUAUUAAAAAAUUUGUGCAAAAUUUUACUUUUUUUUGUCAUGACUUGGUUUACUAAUAAAAGUUCUACAAGCAUGACUUAAAUUUGACUCUGUUUGUAUAAAUUGUUUGAAUAAGACGAAUGGUCAAACUUACAGUCAAAAAAAGUCAAACGUCUUAUAAUUUGAAAUGGAGGAAAUAUCAUCCAACUGUUCACAAAUUUAUAAAUUUACAAAUUCCCUAUUCCCAUCCCCCAUCUGGUCGUCUCCUCUCCCACAUGGGUCGCCAUGUCCCUUGCCACCACUGCUGCUGAGUGCCGUCAGUGUCAUGGGAGAGGAUCCGCCCGCAGGCAGGCUAGCUGCUUCUCGCCUGGAGCACGCACGCCAGCACCCAUGGACCCCGCCCUUCGAGGAGCUCGAGUGCCUCAACUGCUACCUGAGCACGCUCAUGCAUGCGCCGCACCAAGCUCACCGACCCACCGCGGCCCGAGCCUGAGCCGGAGGUGGUGGAGAUCAAGGCAGACAUGGAGACGAAGCUAAAGGUGUCGCCGCGCUCACACGAUGGCGCCGGCGAGGGUAAGAGAAGGAAGGAGGAGGCCAAUUAAGGCAAUGGAGGAGAGGGUGGUGGCGGCGGUGAAGGCAGAUCAGGCGAAGGAGAGGGCCGCACGAGUCAGAUCGACGCUCAAAAAUUCAGUUGACAGAGGCAGCGCUUGAGAAAUUGUGUUUCAUUUUUUGAUUGACUAUAAGAAGGGUACAAUUUUUAUUUAAUUUUUUGUUGUGAAAGAAACAAUUCAUCAAACACAGAAGAACUCAGUUGUGGAUUUCACCAAAAAACAGAUAGAGAAAUAAACCGGCAUGCAUGUCAUUGUAUAUAGUAAGUAUAACCUUGAUUGUUAUUACUGGUACAUGGCGCAGAGACAAUUCGACAGCAAUUUAGAAUCCAAGAACAUGCAACAGCUCAACAAGACGAACCAAAGAUAUAUAUGGCCACCAUGUAUGGAUCGGACAUCGGAGGCAGGCUAGGCCAUUAAUUAUAAUGCAGGAUCGAUGAAUGAAGAAAGCAAAGUAAGCAAAAGUAGAUGCAUGUGCGACAGCAGUAGCAGCAGCAACCAGAAGAAGAAGACGGCGGCGAUGGAGCCGGCCGGCGAUGAGGACCAUCCAUGACAUGUGCCAUCUCAUCGCAGCGAGCGACGUACGGAGGACUCUGUCUGCAUUUUUACUUGAUGAACUCGAUGGCCCAGGCGUUGGCGUAGAUGUAGGUGGCCUUGAACCCAGAGAAGCCAGCGGCCUUGGCGAGGUCACGGAACUCCCGCUCGUACCGCUCCCUGCCGCCGGGGUUAUGCGCGAGCAUGAUCAUGUCGACAUGGAACACGCCCUGCGCCUUGGGGACGGCGUCGGUGGUCACCGGCAGCACGCACUCGACGACGAUCACCUUGCCGCCCUUCUCCGGCAGCGCGUCGUAGCAGUUCUUGAGCAGCGUGGCGCAGUGCGCGUCGCUCCAGUCGUGGAGGAUCCACUUCAUGAGGAUGGCGUCGCCGGCCGGCACCGACUUGAACAUGUCCCCGCCGACGUGCUGCACGCCGGGGAACGGCGGCGCCUCGGAGAUCACGUGGGGGAGGUCGAAGUUGACGCCCCUGAUGUGGGAGUGGUGGGAGGUGAUGGCGUGUAAGGUGGCGCCGAUGCCGCCGCCCACGUCGACGAGCGUCGAGACGGACUCGUCGAAGCCCGUGUAGAACUCGAGGAGCUUCUUGGUGAUGAUCACGCUGUGGUUCUUCAUGCCCUCGUUGAACACGCGGUUGAAGCGCGGGUCCGUGCCGUGGUACUCGAACGCCGUCAUCCCGUACGCCUUGUUGAACGGGAUGCCGCCGUCAAGCACCGCGUCCUUCAGGUAGUACCUGUGAUGAUUGAUAGAUAGAUAGAUAGAUAGAUAGAUAGAUAGUGAUGAGACACGUACACAGCACUGAUCGAUCGACAUGGAUUUCAAUUUCUAAGAAUUUUGAUGAAUUGUACAGAUAGUCAGAUAUGUGUGUGUUUUUGCAAGAAUUUGAUAACUAUGCUACUAGACACGUAUGGUUAAUUAUGGAAAGGGAUGUUAUAGGCUUGAGCACUUCGGAAUGGACCAGAGUGAUGAUGCAGAACAGACAUGUGUGUAUGGUAACAACUGCUACUUGCAGGCACUACAGCACAACGCCAUGCCCAUGUAGAAUAAUGGACUGUUACUGCUGCCAUGGCCUUGUUUAGUUCAAAAAAAUUUGCAAAAUAAAAAUAGUACCAUUUUUGUUUGUAUUUGACAAAUAUUAUCCAAUCAUAGACUAACUAGACUCAAAAGAUUCGUCUCGUCAAUUCCGACUAAACUUUGUAAUUAGUUUUUAUUUUUGACUAUGUUUAAUAUUUUAUGCAUGCGUCUAAAGAUUUGAUGUGACGGAGAAUCUGAAAGAUUUUGCAAAAUUUUUUUGGUAAGGAUCUGUUUAGAUUGUGAAUGAAAAAUUUUUGGAUGUCACAUCGGAUAUGUCAGAAUGAUGUCGGGAGGGGUUUUUAAAAACUAAUAAAAAAACAAAUUACAUAGCUCAUCAGGAAACUGCAAGACAAAUCUAUUAACUAUAAUUAAUCUGUCAUUAGCACAUGUAGGUUACUGUAGCACUUAAGGCUAAUCAUGGACUAACUAGGCUUAAAAGAUUCGUCUCGCGAUUUUCAACCAAACUGUGUAAUUAGUUUAUUUUUUAUUUACAUUUAAUGUUCCAUGCAUGUGUUCAAAGAUUCGAUGGGAUGGAUGAAAUUUUUUUUUGUGGGGAACUAAACAGGGCCUAACUAAACAAGGCCCAUGUGUCUGAACUCUGAAGUCACUGUCCGGUCUGAACAUUUUAAACUAGUCAAAAAUUGCAUGAAAGGAAAACUGCUACAGAUAUCGAUCUGUGCAAAAGUUUCUAAAAGGAACAGGGCAAGAAUCUAUCAGCAUCAGUGACAUGGUAAUGGGUCAGUCAGUCGCCUGUGGUCCAACUGCCUCUUUUCUACACCCACUUCACACACACCAAACACCAAACAAUUUGAGAGUCUGAAGAUUCACCAUCAGUUGGUGAAUGACUGAACGGAGUUUCGCAAAAGUCUAGAUCAGGAAUUUCGCAGAAUUCCAUGAUCCAUGUGAGCCGUCAGUAAUAAGUCCGGCGAUCGACGGCUCCAGUUUUGCGAAUCCAGGAAAAAAAAAUUAGAGAGAGAGUUGGCCAAUAAUGCUCUCCUUCUCCAAGGUUCGCCGAAGUCUCGCCCACUGGAUAGUGGAGAUGACAAGUGGUCCGUCCUUUGCUUACUUUUCCAUCCUACUCUACAUUUUUUUAGGAAGAACUUGAGCUUACUUCCCUUUUUUUGUAAAAAAAUAUUUUUUUUGUUUUAGUCAAAUAUUAUAUCAUGGAUAACUUAACUACUGCCAGCUUUGUACUAGCAGCUAGUACUAGUAGUGCACCUCAAUCAAUUUUACUUGGAAAAAAUUAAAUGACAAAAUAAAUCACUAGCUAGUACUAAUGAUGAGCGAGCUCAUCAUCAUGCAGCUAGCACGCCAGCAUCAUAUCAACAGCAAAGCAACAACUGAUCUACAGAUGAAAUGGUGAGGUGGGGCGAGAUGUGCUCUGACGACGACUACUCACCAGCUCUCCAUGAGGACCUUGUCCUGGUUCAUGAGCGCGAGGGCGGCCAUGGAGACGCCGUCCUCGUUAGGGGUGAGCCACUUGCCGACGGGGGCGGCGGAGUACCGACGCUCGUACUUGCCGUCCUUGUCCUCCAUCUGGCACUUCACGACGUCGUAGGAGGCGAGGAGGCGGAGCAUGCGGUCCACCAUGUCCGCCGCGGCGGGGUUCGUCGGCGCCACGGGCAGCCGCGCCACCACCUCCUCCGCCGCCAGCGCCUUGCCGGCGUCCUUCUGAAGCACCUCCAGCAGGCCCAGCUCCAGCGCGUUC